UACGGAGGGUGCAAGCGUUAUCCGGAUUUACUGGGUUUAAAGGGUGUGUAGGCGGGCUUUUAAGUCAGUGGUGAAAUCUCCGGGCUCAACCCGGAAACUGCCAUUGAUACUAUUAGUCUUGAAUUUUGUUGAGGUAGGCGGAAUAAGUCAUGUAGCGGUGAAAUGCAUAGAUAUGACUUAGAACUCAAUUGCGAAGGCAGCUUGCUAAACAAAUAUUGACGCUGAGGCACGAAAGCGUGGGGAUCAAACAGG
rnacentral:rRNA from 1 species